ACUCAAAUGAAUAGACGGGGGCCCGCACAAGCAGCGGAGCAUGUGCUUUAAUUCGACGCAACGCGAAGAACCUUACCAGGGCUUGACAUGCACGGGAAUACCGUAGAGAUACGGUAGCCCUUCGGGGCUCGUGCACAGGUGUUGCAUGGCCGUCGUCAGCUCGUGUCGUGAGAUGUUGGGUUAAGUCCCGCAACGAGCGCAACCCCUGUCCUUAGUUGCCAGCGAGUAAUGUCGGGGACUCUAGGGAGACUGCCGGCGACAAGUCGGAGGAAGGUGGGGAUGAUGUCAGGUCAGCAUGACCCUUAUGUCCUGGGCUAGACACGUGCUACAUUGGCCGGUACAGAGGGCUGCAAACCCGCGAGGGGGAGCGAAUCCCAAAAAACCGGUCCCGGUUCGGAUUGGAGGCUGAAACUCGCCUCCAUGAAGGCGGAGUUGCUAGUAAUCGCGGAUCAGCAACGCCGCGGUGAAUACGUUCUCGGGCCUUGUACACACCGCCCGU
rnacentral:rRNA from 1 species